rnacentral:rRNA from 1 species
CUACGUGCCAGCAGCCGCGGUAAUACGGAAGGCCCAGGCGUUAUCCGGAUUUAUUGGGUUUAAAGGGAGCGUAGGCUGGAGAUUAAGUGUGUUGUGAAAUGUAGACGCUCAACGUCUGAAUUGCAGCGCAUACUGGUUUCCUUGAGUACGCACAACGUUGGCGGAAUUCGUCGUGUAGCGGUGAAAUGCUUAGAUAUGACGAAGAACUCCGAUUGCGAAGGCAGCUGACGGGAGCGCAACUGACGCUUAAGCUCGAAGGUGCGGGUAUCAAACAGGAUUAGAUACCCUGGUAGUCCGCACAGUAAACGAUGGAUGCCCGCUGUUGGUACCUGGUAUCAGCGGCUAAGCGAAAGCAUUAAGCAUCCCACCUGGGGAGUACGCCGGCAACGGUGAAACUCAAAGGAAUUGACGGGGGCCCGCACAAGCGGAGGAACAUGUGGUUUAAUUCGAUGAUACGCGAGGAACCUUACCCGGGCUUGAA